UACGUAGGCAGCGAGCGUUGUUCGGAGUUACUGGGCGUAAAGGGUGUGUAGGCGGUUGUUCAAGUUUGGGGUGAAAUCUCCCGGCUCAACUGGGAGGGUGCGCCGAAUACUGAAUGACUUGGAGUGCGGGAGAGGAAAGUGGAAUUCCUGGUGUAGCGGUGAAAUGCGUAGAUAUCAGGAAGAACACCUAUGGCGAAGGCAGCUCUCUGGGACGGUACUGACGCUGAGACGCGAAAGCGUGGGGAGCGAACAGG
rnacentral:rRNA from 1 species